AAUGCCCAUGGAUAUAGAUAAUCAUAGUUUUGCUUUCUUCAACUUCAGUCAAAGACAAAACAUUUUGCAGAGACCCAUGUUUACAGAUUCCCUUGAAUCUUUUUCAAGUAUUAUAAACGAAGUGUGCACUCACAAAUGUAAAUUCGCAAACUCAGCAACACAAAUACAUUUUAAAAAAAACUUACGACACUUCAAAACAUAUACGUCCAUACCAAAACUAGCACACAAACACUUGAUUAUAGACUACAAUAAUUCCUAAAUACAACCUAUCCUAAAACAAUAUGCUUUUUUCAACGUAUAACCCCUCAUCACUAAUAUGUCCCAAUCUACCCACUACACACUCUCUGACUAUUCAACAACAACACCAGAAUAUAUCAAACAUUUUCUUACUAUUACGUAAC
rnacentral:lncRNA from 1 species